rnacentral:lncRNA from 1 species
ACAUAACAUAUCUUUAUUUUUCUUUUAAUUUAGUUCACUUAUACUCCUUUCUCAUCCCUCCAUUUCUUGGUCUCAUUCUCUGCAGAAGAUCUAUCUCCUAGCUGAAAAGUCUAAAAUCCCAAGCCACAGGAACUCCUGAACUGAAGAGCCAACUGUAGCUUCUGAAAGUGUCAAAAAUGGACAUCAUAAAUGAUCCUCUCGACCUCCUUCAGCCUCCAGCUCUACUAAAGACAUAACCAGUGCAGUGCAAUACAAGUGAAGAAAAUCCAAGUAAACAAGCUGGACAACGAUUUCAUAUUUCAUGGACACAGAGGAUGACACCCCUCUUCCAAUCACAGCAGACUGAAUGUACAAUGCCAACACUUCAG